GCCGCUGUAGCUCAGGGGUAGAGCAGCUCAUUCGUAAUGAGCAGGUCGUCGGUUCAAUUCCGACCAGCGGCUCCA
rnacentral:tRNA from 1 species